rnacentral:rRNA from 1 species
AUGCCAGGUCUGAUCUGGUUGUGUGUGCUCUUGAUCGUCUCUUUCCAUGAUGAUGGUGUUGCUGUUGCUGGCGUCGGGGAGUUCAUCUACAAUGGGUUCGCCGGCAGCAACCUCUGCCUCAACGGUGCAGCUUCCGUAACACGGGAGGGCGUCCUUACUCUCACGUCGAACAACUUCAACAUCCAGGGGCACGGCUUCUUUCCUGAAGCUGUUCCCCUGAUCGGUCCCCAUGGGAAGUCCAUGAGCUUCUCGACCACUUUCGUGUUCGCCAUCACGCCAUACCACUCUGGUCGUUCCGGCGAUGGGUUGGCAUUUGUUAUCUGCGCCGCCCCAGAUUUGUCCACUGCACUCCCGGGGCCAUACUUGGGCCUCGUCGAUCCAUACAACAAGUUCCCAGCUACAAACCCGUUCUUCGCCAUAGAGCUUGACACCGCCAAAGACCUAGAGUUCGAAGAUAUAGACAAUAACCAUGUCGCGGUUGAUCUCAAUAGCCUCAAGUCUGCCAGCUCUAGCACCGCGGGCUACUACAUCGACAUCGACGAUGACACGGAGGGUUAUGCUACUGAGGCAAGCUUCAAGGCGUUGAGGCUUUCUAAUGGAAAUCCGAUGCAGGUAUGGGUGGACUAUAACAGCUACAACGGCCAACUCGAUGUCGCGCUUGCUCCUGUCCCCAUGUCUAAGCCCAGUCUGCCGCUUUUGUCUUACUCCGGCUACUCUGUCAACCUUGCCAAGUUUUUGGGGUUUAACGACACAGUUCAUGUUGGCUUCUCCGCCGCGACGGGUGAUGAGCAUGGCGGCACUCAUCAGAUUCUUGGAUGGAGCUUCAGCAUGAGUGGACCGGCGAAACCACUUGACUACUCGUUGCUGCCACUAAAGCAAGAGAAGGAUUUCAAGAAAAAACUCAUCAAAUGGCUGCUUGCAUCUUCGUUCAUCAUACUGCUUGCAGGUAUAAUAAUAGCCUGUCUUCUUAUUCGACGGUGGCGCAAGACCAGACAUGAAGAGAGGACGGAUCAAGACUGGGAGGCUGAGCUCGGCCCCCGCCGCUUCGCAUACAAGGACCUCCGCAGGGCAACCCAUGGCUUCCAUGAAAUGCAGCUUCUCGGGAAAGGCGGCUUUGGGCAAGUCUAUAGAGGAGUCCUUGCCUCCUCAGGCAUAGACAUCGCGGUGAAGCGGGUCUCCUCAGAUUCAAGGCAGGGGCUGACAGAAUUCACGGCGGAGAUCAUCAUCCUUGGCCGCAUACGGCACCGGAACCUUGUCCGCCUGGUCGGCUAUUGCCGGCACAAGGACGAGCUUCUCCUGGUCUACGAGUACAUGCCCAAUGGCAGUCUGGAUAGCUACCUGCACGCCCAGACUAGCAGCCACGUGACGCUCUGCUGGCCUCAGAGGCUUCACAUCAUCAAAGGUGUCGCAUCCGGGCUUCUGUACCUCCACGAGGACUGGGAGCAGGUUGUCUUACACCGCGACAUCAAGGCCAGCAACAUCCUCCUUGACGGGGAGAUGAACGGCCGGCUGGGCGACUUCGGCCUUGCAAGGCUGCACGACCAUGGUGCUGACGCGCACACCACACAUGUGGCCGGCACAAGGGGCUACCUCGCCCCUGAAUUAACGAGGUUUGGCAAGGCGACCAAGGCCACUGAUGUGUACGCUUUCGGUGCUUUCAUUCUGGAAGUGACCUGCGGGAGGCGGCCGGUGGGGCUCAACGUCCGUGGCGAGCUUCUGGUGCUCGUCCAGUGGGUGAGAAACACGUGGGCGAGCUGCUCUGGCUUGAUUGUUGACACUGUGGAUCCGAGGCUGGAUGACUUCGUUACCAACGAGGCGGAGCUGGUGCUCAAGCUAGGGCUGUUGUGCUCGCACCCCUUACCUGCGGCGAGGCCCGGAAUGCGCCUCGUUAUGCACUACCUCGACGGGGACUUGCCUUUGCCUGAGUUCUCUCCCGGAUAUCUCAACAUUACAGAUGUCGAUCAGGUUCUUGACGAAGUGCCUCCCUCGGUGUCGAACACCAUUACAGGCCUGUCGGUGAAUUCCUUGAUUCAGCAGCUUCAACCAAAGUCCUGCAAUCAGAAGAAAGAGACCGCAUUCCAGCCCAAGACUUUGACAACCGAAGCAGCUAGAAGUAGGCCCAUCGCUUCUGCCUGCAAAACAGAAAACACAUUCGAGGGCCGCCGCUUUGCUACAGCAGCUGGCAAAUCGGCAAUAGUCACGGUGCGUAAGGAAUCGCUUACUACAAUUUCCAUCCCGAUUAGCCGCCAUCACCGGAAAGGGGGGAAGAAGAUUCACCUUGUCGAUGCGGAGGAGACCAUGGUGGAAGGCGGCAGUGAGGGGACUCGCUGGAGACGGGAGCGGCAGCCGGUGCGGGAACAAAUGUGCAGGUACGGGAGAGCGGUGGCAUGCCACAAGAGCAGGCCGGCGAACGGAAGGAGAAGCUCGAGAUCGCCGCCGCCGCAGGCCGCGCCGGAGCUCCGUGGGCGGUGGUAG